GAUGAACGCUGGCGGCGUGCUUAACACAUGCAAGUCGAACGGGAUCCAAGGGGUGCUUGCACUUUUUGGUGAGAGUGGCGAACGGGUGAGUAACACGUGAGUAACCUGUCCUUUUCUUUGGGAUAAGCAUUCGAAAGGGUGUUUAAUACCUUAUGUUCUGUCUGCCUCACAUGGGGUGGGUGGGAAAGGCUUUGGCCGGAUUUGGGUGGGCUCGCGGUCUAUCAGCUUGUUGGUGGGGUGAUGGCUUACCAAGGCUUUGACGGGUAGCCGGCCUGAGAGGGUGGUCGGUCACAUUGGGACUGAGAUACGGCCCAGACUCCUGCGGGAGGCAGCAGUGGGGGAUAUUGCACAAUGGGCGAAAGCCUGAUGCAGCGACGCCGCGUGGGGGAUGAAGGCCUGCGGGUUGUAAACUUCUUUUGCUCUGAACAAGGCAUGCCAGUGGGUGUGUUGAGUGUAGGGGUUGAUUAGCGCCGGCUAACUACGUG
rnacentral:rRNA from 1 species